CACAAUAACAUAUGAAGGCUGUACGCGGCUGUGCCCUCGGGCCAGUUGGCGGAGGCUGGAGUAUUUAUUUACCCUUGUCUUUUGCGCACUUGUUGUUUCCUGGGCGGGCUCGCCCGCCACCAGGACCACAUGAUAAACCUUUUUUAUGCAGUUGCAAUCAGCGUCAGUACAACAAAUGUAAAUCAUUUA
rnacentral:misc_RNA from 1 species